GGCUUGGGAGAAGGAGGCGGCGCUCGGUGAGCCCAGGCUCUUUUCCACAAUGGCCCCCCUGACCAGCGCGUCGACCGCGGCCGCGCU
rnacentral:sRNA from 1 species